rnacentral:rRNA from 1 species
GGCGUGCUUACACAUGCAAGNNNNAACGAGAACGGCUCUAGCUUGCUAGAGUGUCAGCUAAGUGGCGGACGGGUGAGUAAUGUAUAGCUAACGUGCCCCUUGGAGAGGGAUAACAGUUGGAAACGACUGCUAAUACCUCAUACUCCUUCUAUGCUAAUCAUAGUUGGGAAAUGUUUUUUCGCCAAGGGAUCGGGCUAUAUGGUAUCAGGUAGUUGGUGGGGUAAGAGCCUACCAAGCCAAUGACGCCUAGCUGGUCUGAGAGGAUGAUCAGCCACACUGGAACUGAGACACGGUCCAGACUCCUACGGGAGGCAGCAGUGGGGAAUAUUGCACAAUGGGGGAAACCCUGAUGCAGCAACGCCGCGUGGAGGAUGACGCAUUUCGGUGUGUAAACUCCUUUUAUAUGGGAAGAUAAUGACGGUACCAUAUGAAUAAGCACCGGCUAACUCCGUGCCAGCAGCCGCGGUAAUACCGGAGGGGGCAAGCGUUACUCGGAAUCNCUGGGCGUAAAGCGNCNGNAGGCGGUCUUUUUAAGUUGGAAUNUGAAAACCUAUGGCUCACCCCUAAAAACUGNCUCCCAAACU